AAGCCAAACUUGCUCAUGUUCCGUCUGGACAUUUGGCAUACAAGUGAACCAUGGACAUCAAUCCUUUAUUAUUUUUUUUCCAAUUAAGUUUAAUAUUUUAGUUGGCCUAAUGUCAAACUCUCCAAAAAGGCAAAAAGAAACAUCCAAAAGAUUAAAUCUUGGGAUAAUGAGAAGAAAAGUUUGCUGUGAGCCCCAUUUUGAAACAGGGCUCUCGGAUAGCCAGCGGGAUGAGUUCGCGCCUAGGGAGUUUGGCAUAAGGACUCAGGUGUUGCACAGCGGCCAGCCAUACAUCUUGGUCCAGGUCCACUGUAAAGCCUUGAGAUGCAGUCGAAGCACUACAGGUCAUGGGCAAACCUCUGGAGUACCGGCAAGCAGCCACCUUAAAGACACCCUAGGGGUCUUAGGAAUGGGCAUCAGAAAAGGAGCUUCAGUCAGGCAGCGAGCCCUGGUCCCCCAGCCGCGCGCACCGGGUUUGUGGCUGGGGUCCUCUCCCAUAGGGCGAGGGCGCGGAUCGGAUCCUCCUCACUGCUCUUCAGAGAAGGAAACUACCAGCACCACGCCUUCCCUCCUGCUCGCUGAGGCGAAGAGGAGUUCUAGCCUCCCAGGUCACUGAUGCAACUCCAUACCCGGGAAAUGGGUUUGCAGAGAUCAGCGUGAAGGGCCGGGUCGCUAGGUCGGGAGGCGUGCGGAUUAACCCCAAGAAUGAGGAGGAGGAAGGAGCUGCAGAGGGUACGCUCGGGAAGUCCCCUACCCUAGAGGUCCUUUCUCAGCUCCCUAAGUCCCUAGGACUCAGCUGAUGGGACCCGCCAGCCCUGAUGUAAGCGCCCUACAGCGUCACCACGGCCCUCCAGUGGACAGUGCCGGGCACACGUGCUGCAACGACAGGCGUCUACCCCGCACCAAGUUUUCGCCCGCAGACGCCGACCCAGCGCAGGAGGGCAAGAAAGUGAUAAAAUUUACUAAGCAAACUUGUACCAGCUCGGGACGAACUGGCUGAACCCAGGAGCCAAGUUUGAGUAGUGGUACGGAUGGAGAAGAUGCCCUUUAUUCUGGUCUCCAACUCCCCCUCCGCACCCUAACCCGGGAAUCUUAGCGGAAGCUGGCCUAGCAGCGAAGGUGUUCUCAUCCUCGCCGGCUGGCAGGAGUGCGAGACGUCUGAAGUGGCUCUCUGAAGUCCGAGGGUCCUUAAGAUCUCAUCAAGAACCCUCGAAAUCGUCUGAAACAAAGCAACCAAUUCCUGGGACAGAGAAGAGCCUCAAUAAAUGUUUGUUGAGUGAAUGCAUGAGUACGGAGGGAGGAACGCACUAACAGAAUUUCGUAUAUACACUAGUAACUAGCCAGGGAUACACAUACAUAAAGCAAAUAUGCGAGGUAAGAUUACUUCGUGAAAGUCCGGCGCUUGGAAUAAAGGCUUGACACAAACAACAGUUAAAAUACUUUUACAGAGGCUAGGUGGCCCACUGACCAGAGCCAGCCAAAAGAAAUUAAGCUUCUUCUAACUGAAGGAACUUCCGCUAAAAUCCUUCAGCAAAGUCCAACCUACUUCCAUUGCUCCUUCUUCUCUUACAGGAGAAAUGUUCUCGCCUUGGUCGGUUCAGGCUCCAGAUCUCUUCAUUUUUCACAGGACUCUUUGCUAACCCUCAGGCCUGGUCGGACUCUGAUUGCUUAGUCUUAGCAGGAAUCACAAGCCUAAAAGUACUUGGCGCUAAGGCCUUUCUUGUUGCUACAGCAGAGUAACUUCGAGACUUGAGAUUUGGUAUCAAUCUGAUCAUAGUUAAAGAAUAUUAUGACAAAUGUCUCUAUGAAUGUUAUUGCUUCAUAGAGCUAGUAGAGUGAGAACUCUGAAGUCCUUACACAUUAUGUUCUCUUUGGGAACUCAAGAGAAGAAAUUCCUAUGCAGUCUUAAAAUCAGCUAUAGCUUACAUUGAUUUAUGUUUUAAUAUAUGGACAUUAUGACUUGUGGCAGUGAUUAUAUUUCCUUAACAGAAAAUGUGGUUUAAAACAAAAUGUGGUCCUCAUUUUGUAAAUACAAAGGACUUCACUGUAAGCAUAGCAUUUAUAAGACUCAUUUCGUUUUCUAUUUUAUAAGAUUUUUAUUUCUAUUCACUCUUGUGAUCCCCGUUUGCCUUUCUAUAAUAUUCCCCUUGUCUUUGUGUUCCUUUGCAAGAGGGAAUUGAACACUUGAGUUCAAAGUGUCAGUGGUUAUUUCAUUUGUUAAAACAAAAGAGCAUAUUACUCUAAUUCACAGUAAAAAUGACAGGUUCCAUGGAUAGUAAGGAGCCCUGUGCUCUGGUAAAGUAUCUACCAUUCAGGAUGCCAGGUAAGAAGCUGAGGAGCAUUUUCCUGGGGCUUUAGGAAGUUGUUUAAACUCUCCAAGCCAUAGUGUCAUCAUGCUAUAAUAAAAGGCUGUUAUUGUCAUCCCUAUGGUGGUGAUGUGACAGAAUUUCAGCUUGGAAGGCUGAGGAUCGUGAGUUCAAAGCCAGCCUCAGGAACUUAGCAAGGCCCUAAGCAACUUAGUGCGAGACCCUGUCUCAAAAUAAAACAGGCUGGCUAUGUGGCUCAUUAGGUUCGUUGAACCCAGUGGGCCCCUGAGUUCAAUGCUCUGGACAGAAAAUAAAUAAAUAAAUAAAUAAAUAAAUAAAUAAAUAAGCAAGCAAGCAAGAAAGAAACAGAACUUUCUGAAAACAAUUACCAGAGGAGGCAGUGGACACUUUUUAGGCCCACAGCACAAUAAUGAGAUGGAUUCCAACUAAUGAAGAGGAAUGAAUUUUGCUGAACAUCCUACUGUGGACACCUAUAUCAAAUUUGAGUUUCUUCUCUGAGCUUUUAACAUAAACAGUGACGUUCAGGUUGAUUUUGUACUUCUUGCCAGGUAUCUGAAAUGUAUUGAUAACUAAAAUUACUCAUUAAAAAAAAAAAAGCGCUAUCUUCAAAAGAGAGGAGCCUUGCACAGAUAAGGUCCUGCAGAGAGGAUACUCAAUACACAGUCUCUGUGGAGAGUGAUCCCAGGAUAGCCCAGGUGCUCUGUACUGCCACAUCACCACCAUAGGGAUGACAGUAACAGCCUUUUAUUAUAGCAUGAUGACACUAUGGCUUGGAGAGUUUAAACAACUUCCUAAAGCCCCAAAGUAUAUUUACUAUCAUGAGAGGCCACCUUUGAGCCCACAUAACUCAACCCUUUCUUUCUGAACUUCUUCUAAACUUUAGCCAAAUGGUGAUUUUUAUGACCCAAAUUCUAUUUCAUUAUAUCUUAGAAAUAUAUUGGGUCAGGUAAAACCAAAAUUUCUGCUUGGCCAAAAACAUUUUGGAUAAAGCCUCCAUGCAUGCCACACUAGUAAGCAUAUACCAGACUUCAGUAUUUCCCAAAGCAAAUCUCAUAAGUGUCACCAAUUUUUGUAACAGAAGCUGCUCCUUUUCUUUACCUGCUACACAUGAGAAACAAUUUUUCUCUGGUGAGUGUUUAUCUUAAAAGGUUUUGAGCAUGCUGAAUGAGAGUUUAGCCUUUUUUUAGAAGAGUCAUGGCACUGAAUUCCCUAAAACCACAUACUUGUGAAAGGGAACGAGAAACAGUUUAUUUGGUCAGGUCAAGAUACCAGGGCUUUAAAUAUUUUAGGUUUUAUCUGAGACAAAAGGCAUUUGACCACCUGUUGUUCCCCCGCCUUAGAAGUCAAAGCAAAGAUUGAUGAGGAAAAAAGUCAGAGGAGCAGAAUUCAGAAUUUAAGUGUGUGUGUGCAUGCUUGUAUGCCUGUAUGUGGUAUGUGUGGGAAUGAGCUUACCUUAGAGUAUAAAGUGUUUCUUCAUCUUCAGAAAUAUUUUUACACAGGAAUGGGAAGUGCCUAGGGAGGCUGUGAAUGAAUGAAUGACUGAAAUAUGUCCCUUCCAAUCCUAAACUUCCAGGAGAAUAUAUGCUUCUAAAAUAGGUUGCCAUUUAAAGGUAUGUACACUCAACCACUCCUCUAAAGAUGUAUUUUAAGGAGACAUAAGAAUGUGGUUACCAUAUUGCCUUAAGAGAGAGCUAGUAUGGUAGGGGUCAAGGGUUGGAAGGAGACUUAUUUUUCAAUUGUUUGCCCUGUUAUAUGCUUGAAAUUUUGUCCUAUGAGUAUGUAUAGCCUUAUUUUCAGUAAGGUAUGGGUCACUCCCCUUAUGUGAUCCCCUGCUGAGGUUCAGGGGCAACCCUGAAAGCUGGCUGUCAUGGUGUUCUAGGCCUUUUAUUUCUUCCUUUUGAGUCAAAUCCUUUGCAUUGAAUCGUGCACUGAGACCCAUCUUUUCUAGACAGUAGAAGAAACAGUUACUUUUUCAGGGACAAUAUUCUGACACAAAAUUGCUGAUGUGUUUUCCCCUUUAUCAUUAGAUGUUCCAUUAUCUCUAGUUUAGAGGGCUGCAUGAUGCUUAAAAGAAGCAGAAUUGGCACACUAGUCUAACAAGCAAAAUGCUGAACCAGCUGAAGUCAACAGUAAUCCUUUGCUCUGUCACAGAAGGGAGGUCGAAGGACAAAUCUCUACUCCCAAAACAGAGAUAUUGACAGGUAGAUAUAGGAUAACACAGCUCACAGUAGCAGAAACUUGUGGACAGAACCCCCAGAGGGACCCAGUGCAGGAGUAGGAAAACCUGAACUGUAAUUGACAAAUUGCUGGAGGCUCAAUGUGGACAAAUCUAAGAGUUAAAAACUCCAGUCAUAUGAGGAUGGCAGAGACACACUUGUGAGUUUCACCUACAGAAGUCAUCCCAAUCCUCACAGAGUAUAUUGAAAAGUAUUAUUAAUAUGCUAAAGACUUAUGGAAAAUAUAGCAUGCUAGAUUAGUUGGGCAAUGUAAGUAGGAAGAUGGAAAAUCUAAGAAAAAUUCAAGAAGAAAUAUUGGAAAUUAAAAAAAAAAAAAAAAACUAGAACAAAACCCAAAAACACCUUUGGUGGGCACUUUCGUGGCCUGGACUUGACUGAAGAAGGAAUCUAUGAAUUUGAGGUUAUCUUAAUAUUAACUACCAAAAUUGAAAAGCAAAGAGAAAAAAGACUGGGGGAAAAAGCAAAGCAGAAUAUUCAAGAACAGUGGUAUAAUUAUAAAAGUUACAGCAUAUGUGUAGUGGAAUAUAAGAAGGAGAAGAAAAAAAUGUGGAAAAAAAUACAAUUGAGAAUUUCCCUAAAUUAAUACAAGUUACCAAACCACAAAUUCAAGAAGCUCAGGAACCACAAAAUAGGAUAAAUGCCCAAAACUCUAUAACUAGCCAUAGCAUAUUCAAUCCUCCGGAAAACAAAGGUAGAAAAAGUCUUGAAUGAAGCCACAAGAUGGGGUGGGGAGGAAGCUUCCCUGGAGAGGUGCUAGAGAGAUGAUGCCUAUAGAAAAGAUAAGAAUUGUAUUCAACUUAUCCUCAGAAACCAUGCAAACAAAAUAGAAUGGAAAGAAAUAUUUAAAGUGUUGAGAAAAAAACCCCUACAAACUAUAAUAAUUCUGUAUCCUGCAAAAGUAUCCUUCAAACGUGAAAAGAAAUAAUUUCUCAAACAAAAAUUGAGUUUGUGAACAGUGGGCCUGCUCAGCAAGAAAUUUUCUGAAGUUCUUCAGAGAGAAGGAAAAUAAUGUGUUGGAAACUAAAACUUAAAUAAAGAAGAGAAGAACAACAGAGAGUAAAUGUAAAACAAUUAAUUGAUCUGAUGUAUGUUUUUUCAAAAUAAUAAUAGCAAGUGUAUUCAAAUAAAUACACAUAUGUGUAUA